UACGGAGGGUGCAAGCGUUAUCCGGAUUCACUGGGUUUAAAGGGUGCGUAGGAGGGCAGGUAAGUCAGUGGUGAAAUCUUCGAGCUUAACUCGGAAACUGCCGUUGAUACUAUCUGUCUUGAAUACCGUGGAGAUGAGCGGAAUAUGUCAUGUAGCGGUGAAAUGCUUAGAUAUGACAUAGAACACCAAUUGCGAAGGCAGCUUACUACACAGUUAUUGACACUGAGGCACGAAAGCGUGGGGAUCAAACAGG
rnacentral:rRNA from 1 species